CCUACGGGUGGCUGCAGUGGGGAAUAUUGGACAAUGGGGGCAACCCUGAUCCAGCCAUGCCGCGUGUGUGAAGAAGGCCCUCGGGUUGUAAAGCACUUUCAGUGAGGAAGAACGCCUGGUGGUUAAUACCCAUCAGGAAAGACAUCACUCACAGAAGAAGCACCGGCUAACUCCGUGCCAGCAGCCGCGGUAAUACGGAGGGUGCGAGCGUUAAUCGGAAUUACUGGGCGUAAAGCGCGCGUAGGUGGCUUGAUAAGCCGGUUGUGAAAGCCCCGGGCUCAACCUGGGAACGGCAUCCGGAACUGUCAAGCUAGAGUGCAGGAGAGGAAGGUAGAAUUCCCGGUGUAGCGGUGAAAUGCGUAGAGAUCGGGAGGAAUACCUGUGGCGAAGGCGGCCUUCUGGACUGACACUGACACUGAGGUGCGAAAGCGUGGGUAGCAAACAGGAUUAGAUACCCCAGUAGUC
rnacentral:rRNA from 1 species